rnacentral:rRNA from 1 species
AUUGAACGCUGGCGGCAGGCCUAACACAUGCAAGUCGAGCGGGGUUUUCGGACCUAGCGGCGGACGGGUGAGUAAUGCGUAGGAAGCUACCCGAUAGAGGGGGAUACCAGUUGGAAACGACUGUUAAUACCGCAUAAUGUCUACGGACCAAAGUGUGGGACCUUCGGGCCACAUGCUAUCGGAUGCGCCUACGUGGGAUUAGCUGGUUGGUGGGGUAAUGGCUCACCAAGGCGACGAUCCCUAGCUGGUUUGAGAGGAUGAUCAGUCACACUGGAACUGAGACACGGUCCAGACUCCUACGGGAGGCAGCAGUGGGGAAUAUUGGACAAUGGGCGCAAGCCUGAUCCAGCCAUGCCGCGUGUGUGAAGAAGGCCUUCGGGUUGUAAAGCACUUUCAGUAGGGAGGAAGGGUGUUGUGUUAAUAGCACAGCAUUUUGACGUUACCUACAGAAGAAGCACCGGCUAACUCUGUGCCAGCCGCCGCGGUAACAC